UACAGAGGGGGCAAGCGUUGUUCGGAAUUACUGGGCGUAAAGGGCGCGUAGGCGGCCUGCUAAGUCGAACGUGAAAUCCCCGGGCUCAACCCAGGAACUGCGUCCGAUACUGGUUGGCUUGAAUCCGGGAGAGGGACGUGGAAUUCCAGGUGUAGCGGUGAAAUGCGUAGAUAUCUGGAGGAACACCGGUGGCGAAGGCGACGUCCUGGACCGGCAUUGACGCUGAGGCGCGAAAGCUAGGGUAGCAAACGGG
rnacentral:rRNA from 1 species